AUUCAUUAGAUGCCUCUGGUUUUAUGGAUGUGCUGAAUCCUAUUCUUUUAUGUUCACAGUUAUGGUUAUUCCAAAGAAAGAUUUGUUUGGUCCUUAAUAUCUGUUGAUGGUAUCUUUUGUCUUGGUUCUGGUGCUACAAUAGUUCAUAGCAUUCAGAACUUGUGCACUUCUCAGGAUGGUGCUACAGUAACAGGUAUGCUCAUUGCUGCUGCAUCAUUGGUUGCGGUGAAUACCACAGGAAACGCAAUUUAUGAUCUCAUUGGUUCAAUUAUAGUGGGCAACGUUCUUAGAAUGGAAGCCAUGGAGAUGAUGGUUGCUUGCUCUGCAAUGGCUUUAGCAAAAAGGGAACAAUUAAAAGGAGGAGACAACCAAUCACCAGACAGCUUUUGAGACAAGUGGAAUUGUGGAGGUAUAAUAAGUGCAACUGUAUUAACCGGAGGAACCUUG